rnacentral:tmRNA from 3 species
GGGGACGAGUGGGUUCGACAGGGAAUGGAUUUCUAAGUUGCAGGUCGUGUUGCCAUACCACGUAUGAAAUGGCAAAAUAACGAUUGGCGAACGAAAUAACGCUCUCGCUACUGCUUAAAUAAGCUAGCGACGUUCUUUUGUAUCUUUGCUUAGGGUGAUACAAAAGAGCGACGAAUUACCUAGGCUGAGCAACUUCAUUGCUAGAGUGAUUUUGCAAACAUUUUUCUAGAUAAGCAUACAUUGAUGGUUUGUCGAUUGCGCCUUUGUUGACGAAAAUUGAGAUAUCGACUAAGCCUGUAGAAGCUUAGAAGGAAAAUUUCUUGGACGGGGGGUUCAACUCCUCCCCGUCUCCACCA